rnacentral:rRNA from 1 species
AGUCGUAGUAGUUUGACUCCUGGCUACGAGGACGAACGCUGGCGGCGACGCUUAACACAUGCAAGUCGAACGGAGUUAUUUUGAGUUUACUUAGAAUAACUUAGUGGCGGACGGGUGAGUAACACGUGAGCAACCUGCCUUGGAGAGAGGGAUAGCUUCUGGAAACGGAUGGUAAUACCUCAUAACAUAAUGGUACCGCAUGGUGCUAUUAUCAAAGAUUUAUCACUCUGAGAUGGGCUCGCGUCUGAUUAGAUAGUUGGUGAGGUAACGGCUCACCAAGUCGACGAUCAGUAGCCGGACUGAGAGGUUGAACGGCCACAUUGGGACUGAGACACGGCCCAGACUCCUACGGGAGGCAGCAGUGGGGAAUAUUGCACAAUGGGGGAAACCCUGAUGCAGCGAUGCCGCGUGGAGGAAGAAGGUUUUCGGAUUGUAAACUCCUGUCUUAAAGGACGAUAAUGACGGUACUUUAGGAGGAAGCCCCGGCUAACUACGUGCC